rnacentral:rRNA from 1 species
AGAACGAACGCUGGCGGCGUGGAUAAGACAUGCAAGUCGAACGGGGUAGUUUGGUAGCAAUAUCAAACUGCCUAGUGGCAAACGGGUGCGUAACACGUAGGUUACAUUCCGGAAAGUGUGGGAUAGCCCAGGGAAACUUGGAUUAAUACCGCAUGUGAUCGCAAGAUCAAAGGCGAAAGCCGCUUUCCGAUUGGCCUGCGCCCUAUCAGCUAGUUGGUGAGGUAAUGGCUCACCAAGGCAACGACGGGUAGCUGGUCUGAGAGGACGACCAGCCACACUGGAACUGAGACACGGUCCAGACACCUACGGGUGGCAGCAGUCGAGAAUCUUUCACAAGUGGGGGC